GAUGAAGAACGCAGCGAAAUGCGAUAAGUAAUGUGAAUUGCAGAAUUCAGUGAAUCAUCGAAUCUUUGAACGCACAUUGCGCCCGCCAGUAUUCUGGCGGGCAUGCCUGUUCGAGCGUCAUUACAACCCUCAGGCCCCCGGGCCUGGCGUUGGGGAUCGGCGGAAGCCCCCUGCGGGCACAACGCCGUCCCCCAAAUACAGUGGCGGUCCCGCCGCAGCUUCCAUUGCGUAGUAGCUAACACCUCGCAACUGGAGAGCGGCGCGGCCACGCCGUAAAACACCCAACUUCUGAAUGUUGACCUCGAAUCAGGUAGGAAUACCCGCUGAACUUAAGCAUAUCAAUAAGCGGGA
rnacentral:misc_RNA from 1 species